rnacentral:rRNA from 1 species
CCUACGGGAGGCAGCAGUGAGGAAUAUUGGUCAAUGGGCGCGAGCCUGAACCAGCCAAGUAGCGUGCAGGAUGACUGCCCUACGGGUUGUAAACUUCUUUUAUGCAGGAAUAAAGUGCGUCACGUGUGAUUUUUUGUAUGUACUUCAUGAAUAAGGACCGGCUAAUUCCGUGCCAGCAACCGCGGUAAUACGGAGGGUCCGAGCGUUAUCCGGUUUUAUUGGGUUUAAAGGGUGCGUAGGCGGCCUUUUAAGCUAGCGGUAAAAUUCCGGGGCUCAACCCCGUCCGGCCGUCGAAACUGGGUGCCUUGAGUGGGCGGGAAGAAGGCGGAAUUCGUGGUGUAGCGGUGAAAUGCAUAGAUAUCACGCAGAACCCCGAUUGCGAAGGCAGCCUUCCGGCGCCCUACUGACGCUGAGGCACGAAGGUGCGGGGAUCGAACAGGAUUAGAUACCCGAGUAGUC